rnacentral:rRNA from 1 species
CGGCGGACGGGUGAGUAAUGCCUAGGAAUCUGCCUGGUAGUGGGGGACAACGUUUCGAAAGGAACGCUAAUACCGCAUACGUCCUACGGGAGAAAGCAGGGGACCUUCGGGCCUUGCGCUAUCAGAUGAGCCUAGGUCGGAUUAGCUAGUUGGUGAGGUAAUGGCUCACCAAGGCGACGAUCCGUAACUGGUCUGAGAGGAUGAUCGGUCACACUGGAACUGAGACACGGUCCAGACUCCUACGGAGGCAGCAGAU